ensembl:rRNA 5S_rRNA 5S ribosomal RNA
AUUUAAAAGCAUUGAUUCAUGGUCCAGUGGGCUCAUCUGAUCUCAAAAGAUAAGCAAGGUUUGGCUUGGUUAGUAUGUGGAUGGGAGACCACAUUGGAAUACCAUGGUGCUGUAAGCA